GGCCUAACACAUGCAAGUCGAACGGUAACGCGGGGCAACCUGGCGACGAGUGGCGAACGGGUGAGUAACGCAUCGGAACGUGCCCAGUAGUGGGGGAUAGCCCGGCGAAAGCCGGAUUAAUACCGCAUACGACCUACGGGUGAAAGCGGGGGAUCGCAAGACCUCGCGCUAUUGGAGCGGCCGAUGUCAGAUUAGGUAGUUGGUGGGGUAAAGGCCUACCAAGCCGACGAUCUGUAGCUGGUCUGAGAGGACGACCAGCCACACUGGGACUGAGACACGGCCCAGACUCCUACGGGAGGCAGCAGUGGGGAAUUUUGGACAAUGGGCGCAAGCCUGAUCCAUUAAGGCCGCGUGCGGGAUGAAGGCCUUCGGGUU
rnacentral:rRNA from 1 species